rnacentral:rRNA from 1 species
AGAGUUUGAUCCUGGCUCAGGACGAACGCUGGCGGCGUGCCUAACACAUGCAAGUCGAGCGGAGAUAUAUUGAAGGUUUACCAGAUAUGUAUCUUAGCGGCGGACGGGUGAGUAACGCGUGGGCAACCUGCCUUAUACAGGGGGAUAACACAGGGAAACUUGUGCUAAUACCGCAUAAUAUCAUUGUAUGGCAUCAUACGAUGAUCAAAGGAGCAAUCCGGUAUGAGAUGGGCCCGCGUCCGAUUAGCUAGUUGGUGGGGUAACAGCUCACCAAGGCGACGAUCGGUAGCCGAACUGGGAGGUUGAUCGGCCACAUUGGGACUGAGACACGGCCCAGACUCCUACGGGAGGCAGCAGUGGGGAAUAUUGCGCAAUGGGGGAAACCCUGACGCAGCAACGCCGCGUGAAGGAUGAAGGCCUUCGGGUUGUAAACUUCUUUGAUUGGGGAAGAAGGAAGUGACGGUACUGUACGAAUAAGUCCCGGCUAACUACGUGCCAGCAGCCGCGGUAAUACGUAGGGGACGAGCGUUGUCCGGAAUUACUGGGCGUAAAGGGCGCGCAGGCUGUGCUGCAAGUCAGCUGUUAAAUGUCUGGGCUUAACCCGGGCAUGCGGUUGAGACUGCGGUGCUGGAGUGCUGUAGAGGCAAGUGGAAUUCCCAGUGUAGCGGUGAAAUGCGUAGAUAUUGGGAAGAACACCGGUGGCGAAGGCGACUUGCUGGGCAGCAACUGACGCUGAGGCGCGAAAGCCAGGGGAGCAAACGGGAUUAGAUACCCCGGUAGUC